CAGCUGUCGAAAGAUGGGUUUUCUUCGGACACUCUUCAAGGUGCUGCAUGGUUGUCGUCAGCUCGUGCCGUGAGGUGUCGGGUUAAGUCCCAUACGAGCGCAACCUUACCGUUAGUUACCAUCAGGUUAAGCUGGGGACUCUAGCGGGACUGCCACCGUAAGGUGAGAGGAAGGUGGGGAUGACGUCAAAUCAGCACGGCCCUUAUGUCCAGGGCUACACACGUGUUACAAUGGCCGGUACAAAGGGCAGCUACUUCGCGAGAAGAUGCUAAUCUCGAAAGCCGGUCUCAGUUCGGAUCGAAGUCUGCAACCCGACUUCGUGAAGCUGGAUUCGCUAGUAAUCGCGCAUCAGCCAUGGCGCGGUGAAUACGUUCCCGGGCCUU
rnacentral:rRNA from 1 species